UGGACUCAGGGAGCCGCUUCUGGAACCGGUGAGGAAGACCGCGCUAUGAAUUUGGGGACCUGAAAACUCCCGGGAGCCGCAGUCGCCGCGGGGCCGCCUGGGGAAGUCAGCAGCGCAGCAGCGGGAACCGCAGCGCGGCGGUCCUGGAACCUCCCAGGGUUUGUUGACAUAUAGUGCUGUGACUGAAAUCCUUGUAAGCGUGGGAAUGCCUCGAGUUUCCUCACAGGGCUUUUUGCAGAGAUCUGUAGGAGAAGUACAGCACUCUGGAUUCUGAAGGUCUCAGUUACUCCUGCUCACCUGUGAAGCAGAACCAAGAGCCCUGGGUGGUGAAGAGAGUGGAGACAGUAGCAAAGGAUCCAGGAUCAGGUCUUCUUGCCCACUGAUGUACCUUCCCAG